CAGGGAAUAGUUUAAUAAGAAUUUCAGUUUUGGGUACUGAUGGUGGGAUUUUUUCUAUCUCUUCCUUGA
rnacentral:tRNA from 1 species